UUCCACAGGCCUUCUCUUUAUUUACUUACGUGACAAUGUGAUAAUAUAUUAAAAAAACAACGUCAUUCUAAUGUUAUGUUACCUGUAGCAGAAGCAGACUCAAAAUGAGUCCAUAGUCCAGUAAAUGAGAUUAGCAUGCUGAGAAAGGUGUCUGCAAACAUUCAGUUUUGUGUGUGGUGUAGGACACGAUUGUAAUAAAUGAGGUAGGAGUUAUUUAACUACAUUUAUCAUGGGCAACAUUCUUAUGCGCAUCCACCAGAGCUGUAAUAAUUAGAAAUUUUUCUCUACAAUUGAUUUAUAAACUUUGAAAUGUAAUCAUUCCUUUUUCUAACAAAUAACAGUUUUGAAGGACUCCCAGGGUAGCUACAUCUUUUGGUUAUUAUAUCACUGGCAUGUGACCCAGAUAAUGUAAUAACGCAGCCUAGGAAGUAAACCACGCCUCUUUAUUAUCAUAAAACAAUGUAUUUUUUUCUUAAAUAAUCAUAAAAUUGACAAAGCCAUCAACAGCCACACCCCUUGGGACCUUAGCUAAUGUUAACAAUUAACUGCGGUUAAACAAAGAAAAGGCAGUUACCUUAAAAUGUUUGCCUUUAGACAAAUAUGUCAUCAUUGUUACAGGCCUAAAUCCAUCCUUUCACUAGUUGUGACAAAGACAGAUUGAAAAAAGGCUGUCAUUGAUAUCUUUUUGAAUAAAUUAAGAUGGGUUUUUUACUCCCAGAGUCAGGCUGUCACUGAACCAUAAGCCAGUUGUGAUGUGCGAAUGCUGCAGUAUCCUGCACCAAGAGGAUAUACAUAGUUGCAAAACUUGCUCUUCAGCUAAGCAUCAGAUUACUGAUAUCCAUCAGCACACUUAAAGUGUCUGCUUAUUCUGGAACGUUUCUUCCUUUGCUCACACAAGGAGCAGUA